rnacentral:rRNA from 1 species
CCCUUAGAUGUUCUGGGCCGCACGCGUGCUACACUGAGUGGAUCAGCGGGUCAGAUUGCGCGAAAGCGUUUCCUAAUCUUUAAAUCCGCUCGUGAUGGGGAUUGACGGUUGCAAUUUUCUGUCAUGAACGAGGAAUACCUUGUAAGCGCGGGUCAUCAUCCCGCGCUGAAUACGUCCCUGCCCUUUGUACACACCGCCCGUCGCUCCUACCGAUUGAGUGGUCCGGUGAGGCUUUGGGAUCUGAGCGGAAAGAGCGUUUCGCUGUUUCUGCUCGGAAAACUCAGUCGAACCUUAUCAUUUAGAGGAAGGAGAAGUCGUAACA